GACGAACGCUGGCGGCGUGCUUAACACAUGCAAGUCGAACGGAAAGGCCCUGCUUUUGUGGGGUGCUCGAGUGGCGAACGGGUGAGUAACACGUGAGUAACCUGCCCUUGACUUUGGGAUAACUUCAGGAAACUGGGGCUAAUACCGGAUAGGAGCUCCUGCUGCAUGGUGGGGGUUGGAAAGUUUCGGCGGUUGGGGAUGGACUCGCGGCUUAUCAGCUUGUUGGUGGGGUAGUGGCUUACCAAGGCUUUGACGGGUAGCCGGCCUGAGAGGGUGACCGGCCACAUGGGGACUGAGAUACGGCCCAGACUCCUACGGGAGGCAGCAGUGGGGAAGAUUGCACAAGGGGCGGAAGCCUGAUGCAGCAACGCCGCGUGCGGGAUGACGGCCUUGGGGUUGUAAACCGCUUUCGCCUGUGACGAAGCGUGAGUGACGGUAAUGGGUAAAGAAGCACCGGCUAACUACGUG
rnacentral:rRNA from 1 species